GACGAACGCUGGCGGCGUGCUUAACACAUGCAAGUCGAACGGAAAGGCCCUGCUUUUGUGGGGUGCUCGAGUGGCGAACGGGUGAGUAACACGUGAGUAACCUGCCCUUGACUUUGGGAUAACUUCAGGAAACUGGGGCUAAUACCGGAUAGGAGCUCCUGCUGCAUGGUGGGGGUUGGAAAGUUUCGGCGGUUGGGGAUGGACUCGCGGCUUAUCAGCUUGUUGGUGGGGUAGUGGCUUACCAAGGCUUUGACGGGUAGCCGGCCUGAGAGGGUGACCGGCCACAGUGGGACUGAGAUACGGCCCAGACUCCUACGGGAGGCAGCAGUGGGAAAUAUUGCACAAUGGGCGGAAGCCUGAUGCAGCAACGCCGCGUGCGGAAUGACGGCCUUCGGGUUGUAAACCGCUUUCGCCUGUGACGAGGCGUGAGUGACGGUAAUGGGUAAAGAAGCACCGGCUAACUACGU
rnacentral:rRNA from 1 species